AGUGAACGCUGGCGGUAGGCCUAACACAUGCAAGUCGAACGGCAGCACAGUAAGAGCUUGCUCUUACGGGUGGCGAGUGGCGGACGGGUGAGGAAUACAUCGUAAUCUACUUUUUCGUGGGGGUUAACGUAGGGAAACUUACGCUAAUACCUCAUACUACCUACGGGUGAAAGCAGGGGAUCUUCCGACCUUGCGCGAUUGAAUGAGCCGAUGUCGGAUUAGCUAGUUGGCGGGGUAAAGGCCCACCAAUGCGACGAUUCGUAGCUGGUCUGCUAGGAUGUUCAUGCACGCUGGAACUAAGACACGGUCCGUACUCCUAAAGGAGGCGGCAGUGGUAAAGAUUAGACAACGGUCGGAAGCCUGGUCCAGCCAUACCGCGUGGGUAAAGAAGGCCUUAGUGUUCUAAAGCCCUUUUGUUGGGAAAGAAGAGCUGCUGGUUAAUACCCCGCUGUUCUGACGGUACCCAAAGAAGAAGCACCGGCUAACUUCGUG
rnacentral:rRNA from 1 species